rnacentral:lncRNA from 1 species
AGAUAUAAGAAACUCUCAAAACUCUGUGGAAGGGGAAUUUAAAUUUGGGACAAACAUACCCAAAUCUCAGUAAAAUAAUUUCACUGAUAUUGAACACUAAAAAUUACCUUUUCAGCUAGUAUUUGUAAGCUUGGCCAUCUUUUCUGCUACUUCAUGAGCCAUAAUUGUAUUCGAAUUUGACAUAAGAGCAUCUACUAAAGCUUCAUACACAAAAGGAUCGGGUGUCAUCUCCUUGUCUUCCAUCUUUUGCAAAUAGAGCAGAGCAUCAUCUGAUUUCCCACACUUGCAAAGCCCAUGAAUGAGAGCCAUAUAAGCAAUUCUAUUUGGAGCACAUCCUUUGUGCUCCAUUUCAGUCCAAAGCUUGAGUGCAUGAUCUGGUUUUUGAGCAUUGCAUAACCCAUCUACUAAAGUUGUAUACGUUAUGAUAUUUGGUUCCUGUUCUUCCUCUACCAUCCUCGAAAAACAUACGAGAGCUCUAUCAAUGUCACCAUUUUUGCACCACCCGUCAAUUAAAAAGUUGUAAGUAACAACUGAUGGAACAAGUCCCUUACUGAACAUCUCAUUCAUAGCAUCCUCAGCUUCCAGUAUCCUUUUGGCUUUGCACAGCCCAUUUAUUAUCGUGUUAUAUGCAACUACAUCAGGACAAUAACCACGUCUACAUAUUUCUCUGAAUAUCUCCAAAGCUUGAUCCAGUUCCUUGGUCUUGAGAAAACCAUAAAUAGUUGCAGAAUAGGCAACCAUAUCAGGCAGGAAUCCUACCUGAGUCAUGUUAACUAGGAAAUUAUGGGCAUCAUCUGCCCUCCCUUGCUCACAAAGUUUUUUGACAAGCAGGGUAUAAUAUUUUAUCCAGGGUUGAUGCCCAUGCAAACGCAUUUCCCUAACCAUAUCAAGAGCUCCUGCAACAUCCCCUCGUCUACAUAAGCACCCAAAUAUGGAAUUGAAGGUGAAAUGCGUUGGCUGGAAUCCUGAUUCCUUCAUCUUAUUCAGAAGAUCAAAACAUUCAUUCAACCUAUCAGCAAUGCUCAAACAAUUGAUUAAAUUAUUAAAAAGUAACACACUACGUUUACUGCCAAUUUGAUCCAUCUCAAAAAAUAGGCCAAGGGCCAGGUCUAACUUAUCACUUUUGCACAGACCAUCAAUGACUAUUUGGAAAGAAGUGGUAUCAGGGCAAACAUUUUCCUUAACCAAAAUGAUAUUUUCUGCCUCAAAACCUCCAUUCGUUCCAUUGCCAAUCGUGGCCUUCAGCAAAUGAUAGGCUCUAUUAACUGAACCAUUAUUAACAAAACCAGACAAAACAGAAUUAUAAAGUAACAUCCUUUUCCCCAAAUCCAAAUCUGCCUGCUUUUCUUCAAGCAACCAAAUCAUGUCUUUCUCAUCUUGUAAACAUGAUAAAAGCAUUGACAUUAUUUUAACAUCAGGAGUCAUACCUAGUUCCCUCAUUUGGUUGCACAACAUCAAGGCCUUGUCAAUCUCUUUAUUCUUGCACAAACAUCCAAUUAACACAUCAUAGAUUGAAAUGUCUGGAAUGAAUCCCGUUUUUCUCAUUUUAUCUAAUAGAUGCAAGGCUCUAUCCACUCUGGAUUCCUUUACAAACCCAUGAAUCAAGACAUAAAAUGUCUUCUCGUUUAAACUAAUAUUUUGUUCCUUUUCCAUCCACAUGAUCAACUCAAAAGCCCUAUCCACCUCGCCCAACUUGCUAAAAGACACCAGUAAAGUAGUCAAUACAUGUGCAUCAACCCAUCCCUUGUCUCUCAUCUCAUUAAAAACACCCAAGGCCUUUUCAAACUCCCCACUGUUGCAAUAACACUGCAACAAUGGUGUCAAAGUAUGCUUAUCAAUCUGCCAACCAAGAUCCCUCAUUUCAUUAAACCUAGUCUCAAUCAAACCAACAUCUCCACUCCUCGAGAUUGCCUCCAAUAAACAGUUAUAGCUGUAACUAUUUGGAACACAAACUCUUGAGCUCUUCACUUGAUCAAAUAGAUCAAUAGCCUCUUUAACCAGGCCUUGACUACCUAAACACCUUAUAAAAUAACCCAAAGCCCCAGGCGUCCAGAAAAACUGAAAAUUCGAUAAAUUUAGAGCAAGAGCUCUCAACGGGGCAUUUUGUCGAGCAUUUGAUAGGAUUGAUGCCAUGGCAUUAUAAGUAUAGCAACUAUGCGCAUACCCUUUUUGAUCGGAUGCCCAGUUGAAGAACAUAUGCGCUACUCUCCAAUUCUUGAAGGACUUCAAAACAGUUUCCACUAUUUCAGGAGUCAGAUAUGAGCUUAACUCUUGAAGCUCUGGGGAUUCUAAAGAAAACGGUCGCUUUGUAAAAAUGGAAAUCAGGGCUUCAACUGUGGUUCGACUCGCAUUGGUGCAAAUGGGUUUUGUCUGAAUCAAAUUGUGGUCAUAUCUGUUUGUAUAAAUAGUUGAAUUGAUGAAAUUUUGAUUGGAUAGCUUGAGAAGAGUAAUGUGAUGAGUUGUUUUGAGGAUUCGGUUUCUACACAAUGCCAUUGUAUUUUACAGGGCUUUGGAUAGAAUUUGUGGAUUUUCAAUGAAAUUUACCGUUGGAUUUCAUUGAAGAAUAAACAGCACAAUCCAUGGAACUUUUCCUUUGUAUGAAGUUGGCGG